CACAGGGCCCUCAGGCUCGGGCAGGAGGCGGCAGUGUGGGUGGACCUGAGGGCACGGCCAGGUCAGGAGGCGCCCACCUCCGGGCGUGGGUGGCGGUGGGUGAGGCGACGGAUGCCCAGGAGGAGCAGGGGUCUGGGGGAUACCAAAGGCGGGCCGCCGGGCGGGGUGGGGCGCCCGGGCGGCCUGUGCCUUCCAGGUUCUCGGGAAGGAUUCCUUCUGAAGAAGUCAGAGGAGGAGCCUGAGGUCUUCGACCAGAACUACUCAGCGGCAGCUUCCUUCGAAGACGUGGGGGAGCCCGCGAUCGACCGCGACGGAGCUGUUCAACCACCAGGCGGACCGCUCCCCCCGCCGCGGCGCCGGCCCUGCUGGACAAUGUCCUCCUCAAGCUGCUGGCCGGGGCCGGGGCUUCCGAGACGGGCCCCACACGGACACACCGGCGAACACCCUGGGCCCUAAAGGACAUGUCCUCGUCCUCAGCUUGCUCUUUGGAAUGGCUUUCCUGUCCAGCUCUGUUUCCAUCUUGACGGUCAAAGAGAGGCGCCUCCAGCAGGUCCGGUUCAUCGGUGGCCUGUGGUGUUUUUGUGCUACAAGGAAGAGGCAUUUAUACAGCAGGAAAGCGUCCCAGCUGUUACCUUGAUGCUAAUGCUUUGUGCCUGGGCUCCCAUCCCCUCCAUCUGCUUGAGCAGCUUCUGCUUCGACCACCCGGGGAGCACCUGUGCUGAGCUCAUUGUCACGCUCACCUUCUCUCUCGAGCACUGGCUCCCUUGUUCUCGUCACCGUCACAAGUGAAAAAGAUCUAGGCUACACGGUCGUCUCAGAGUCCUUGGACCACACGUUCCUACGGCUUCCAGGCCACUGCCUGGGCAUGGCUUUCUCCAACUUAUGUUAUAACUUUGAACUACGCAAGUUUUGCAGUGCCAAGAGCCUGAACCAGACUGAGUGCAGUCAAGUUUGUGAGUAUCACAGAUAGAAUUUGUUCAUUCCAUUUUUCAUUGAGCUGUAAUUCACCCUUUUAAGGUGUACAAUUCGCUGGGUUUGGGUAGAUCCCCAAGGUUGUCCAACCGCCGCCACCAUCUAAUUCCAGAAUGUCUUCAUCCCCCCCCAAAAGAAAUACUCUGUCCAUCAACAGUCACUCCCAAGUCCUUUUUCCCCAAAGCCCCUGACAACCAAUAAGCUCCUUCCUGUCUCUGUGGAUUAGCCCGUUCUGGACGGUUCGUGGACGUGGAAUCUGGCUGCCUCCGUCUGCGUUUUGACUUUUAGGAAUAACUCUGUUGUGGACAUUGACAUACGGGUUUUUGCGUGAAGCUAUUUUCAGCGCUCUCAGGUGUCCAGCUAGGAGUGGGUGCGCUGGUCUCACGGUGACUCGAUGUUUAGCUUUUUGAGGAAACACCAAACUAUUUACCACGGCGGCUGCCCCGUUUUGCAUUUUACCAGCCAUACGGGAGAGCCCCAGUUUGUCCACCUCCUUUCGAACAUCUUUUAAAAUUAGUUUUUUCCUUAAACUGCGGUAAAAUUUCUCUUACCAUUUUGACCACUUUAAAGCGUUCAGGAGUGCCUGUCGUGGCUCACCAGUGACAAUCCCAACUAGGAACCAUGAGGUUGCAGGUUCAAUCCCUGGCCUUGCUCCGUGGGUUAAGGAUCCGGCAUUGCCCUGAGCUGUGGUGUAGGUCAAAAAGACGCGGCUCGGAUCCCGCAUUACUGUGGCCGUGGUCCAGGCCGGCAGCUACAGCUCCCAUUGGACCCCUAGCCUGGCAACUUCCAUAUGCCAGGAGUGCGGCCCUUAAAAAAAGACAAAAAAAAGUGUACAGUUCGGUGGCAUUAGGUGGAUUCACAAUGUCGCACACCCACCGCCACCAUCAUCUUGCAAGAUAGAAAGUGAACUGUGGCUGCCUCCCCAUGUCCCCACGCCAGCCCCAGGCAGCCAGCCCUCCUCUUCCUGUCGCCGAGUCUGACUGCUGCGGGCACCUCACACGAGUCGGGGUUGUACGAGGAAGUUACCUAAUGUGUGUAAAGCAUGAGGAGAAGCUUGGAAAGUCACCUAAAGUUGGAUGGCCCUUGUUUAUCCCGCUCUAGUAGAGGGGUACGUGGUCCGAGAGCAUCUACGCCUGCGAGCCCCUCGGGACGGGCCGGCGCCUGACCGCCCUCGCCCUCUCAGGACCUGUGUCCGCAUCCCGCUUCGCCUCCUUGAAACCAGUGGCCUGUGGGAACUGGAAGCCAGGUUCUGUGGCUUCCACAGGGAGCACACGUGGUGAGUGGGUCCAAGUGUAAGUCUCUGAGGACAGGUCAAGGGAAGCUGCACGGCUUCCUUCCUGCAGUCUGCAGGGGCCUGGAGACCUUCUAACCCAGCCUCAGGGCAGAGAGGGGACUGCUGUCCCCAGGACCCCGGGGACCCGAUGGGAGAAAGGCGAGGCGUGUGGGCCAGGUCAGCUGAGAAGAAACAAGACUCUAAGACAAAAAAAAAAAAAAAAAAGGAGUUCCCGUCGUGGGUCGUGGCUCCAUCGUUAACGAAUCCGACUAGGAACCAUGAGGUUGCGGGUUCGGUCCUUGCCCUUGCUCAGUGGGUUAAGGAUCAGGCGUUGCCGUGAGCUGUGGUGUAGGUCGCAGACGCAGCUUGGAUACUGCGUUGCUGUGGCUCUGGCAUAGGCUGGUGGCUACGGCUCUGAUUGGACCCCUAGCCUGGGAACCUCCAUAUGCCACGGGAGCGGCCCAA
rnacentral:lncRNA from 1 species